CGUCCCACUUCCACGCGCGUUGUCGUGGCCGAAUGGGCCAAGCCCAACAAAACCAUUUCCAACGCUGCACAACACCCACGACCACGAAUCCCUCUCUUCGCGUGCAUCUAUCCCCUCCCGAUUUUCUCCCACUCGCCAUGGCCACCGUCGCAGUAUCCCCUCCCCAUUAUCUCCCUAUCGCCAUGGUUGCCGUCGCAGUGAAGGCCAGAGGAGGCGAGUUGGCGUUCCACUACGCAGACUGCGGCGGCGCUGCCUUGGUCCCCGAAGACUGGUUUCCGUCUUCCCGCGGCGGCCGAGAUCGCCACGUCGUUGUGGCCUGAUCUCCUCCACGGUGACGACGUCGCAGGGGGCGGAUACAGGUCGCGUCGUUGUGGAUCGAUCUCCUCCACGGCGACGGCGUCGCAAAAGGCGGAUACGGGUUUGGCGGCGGCCACGAUGAUUAGCUCGUGGAGAUAUUGUGGCGAGCGACCGAGAUAUCGCAGCUAGCAAAAUCCCUACGACCACUUUCCAUGGCGGAGGAGGAGCAGGAUGGGGCCUGGGCGCACGAGAUCCCUCCAACCCAGCUGCCAAGAUCCCUCCGAGACCACGCCGACCUAAUCCGAGACUACAUGGUGCUACUUUAACUUAGAAUACAACUUGACAGUAUUCAGAACAUGGCGGUGGGAUGAUGCUGGCAGGAGGAAAAGAAGGAUGCAAUUUCUGAAGGUUUAUAUUUACUAUUUUGAGGACGACAGGUAUAAAAUUUCGCAAUGGUACUAUGUGUCCUAUACUUAUAGUUAAGUAGCGAUGGUGGCGCAAGGGCGACAUGGUUCUAUCGACGCGGCAGCGGGGCCGAGGAGACACAGUACAUCCCACACCUUUGCUUGUUGGCUGGUCUCCUAAAUACCUGCACACUACAUCUACACUAAGUCACUGAUGGUUCUUGUUUAAAAUCGUGGUCUUGAAUUCUUGAUAUGAUUACAUGUAAGCUGGGGGUAAGUAGGCAAUUAUUUCAUGUUUAAUCUUGUCACUUGGUCGGUCCAUGGAAAAUGAAAACUCCUAUAAGAAAUUAGUAAUAUAUUGUGCAGUAAAACUUCUCGGGCGCCUUUAAGCAUGAUUUAAGUGUCUACAAGAUUUAGCUUAACCAACAAUAUUUGAUUCAAUGCUUCGAGAGAUAGUUACGUGAUGAUAGAAAUAACAACUUUUGUAACAAAUAGUUAAAUAUGAUUUGGAAUUCUUUAUUGAAAAUUUAGUAUUUUAUUUACUGAAUUUUGUUUCAGGUUCAUGUUUAUCCUUUUCUAAAAAAGUUGUUUGCAUCAUAUUACUUUUUAUUGUUCGCCAUCAGACUAAUUGAGUCAGAAAAUAUAAUGCGGAGAUGGGAGGAGAAGAAAGCAAAGGAAAUUGGUAUGUGCUGUCUACCUUUAAUGGUUAGCGAAGCAAGGUGAUUGAUUCACAAAACCCAUUCCAUAUUUACCUGCUUAAAUAUACUCUUGUAUAUCACCUGAUUAACAAAAAAAAUCUCCGUCCAAUGGAUUCCAGAAUGCUAGGCACCGCACGCUGCAGCCAAGGAUCAUGAUACUUACCUGACAAGUACUAGGUAGUAAUACACUGGAAUUGUAUGGAACUAUCUUUUGUCUUUAACCACUAAAGCAUAUAUAGAAAUAUACAUUGGGAUGUCGUGAUUUCAAAAGUUGAAAUAAAAAUGUCUAUUAUGAAGACCAUAAAGAUAAAAAAAACUUGUAAUUAGAUAAUCGUGUGCUAUAGUUGGAGAGUAAGUUUGCUAGAAUCAGUGUUCUCUACUUCAAGGAGGGAAAGAAAUGGGUUCAGUGAUGACUGCCUUGCCGUGUGCCUUGUGUGGUCUGUAUCUGAAAUCAUAGAAGAAAAAAAUAAAAUCACCCAUAUUUUAGUUGUGCAGCUAAAUAUUCAGUUUUUCAUUUUCCACUGAUGGAUUCAUUAGCAUGCAUCGACUAUUGCAGAAUUUCCAAGAUAGAGGCUAUGAUGCCAUGCAAUGCAUCUAACGAACCUCACUGAUGGAUUCAUUAGCAUGCAUCGACUAUUGCAGAAUUCCCAAGCCAAAGGCUAUGAUACCAUGAAAUUUGGCUAAAGAAGCAGGUGCAAGAUGUUUGGGAAGGCUGGUGGCCGGAAGGGGGAGCUACCACAGCAGCCGUGGGCACUGGCUUCACAGAUGUGACAAAUCGAAGGAGCUCAUUGUGUUUCACCGUAGGCUGGACAGAGUGGAAGCCUUAACUCCUACCUGCGUGCUCGCUCUCCAUCACCGGCACAUCGUGGAGGCCGCACCCCUGCCGGAGGGCUCGCUCCGAGCAACCGCCCCAUUGCCCCACCCCACCCUGGUGGUGCUUCACUGUUGUCAAGUGGAGAUACAUCCAUCCGAGCUCGUACUCGACAUUGGCAGUAACCCUACUCUCAAAUUGCGUAAUUAAUUGAUAUUUUUCUUCUCUGUUGUGAUGCAAAUCAAAUCCUUUCUCAUCACUCCAGUUCUCUAUAGAGUUAUUACUGCAAUAUUUUUUCUGAGGAUUUUGUAUGUACGAUUCAGGUUCAGCUAAACCCCCAUGCCACACGUGAACGCCAAGGCAGCUGCGGCACCGCCAAGGAAGAGAAGGGGUGGAUCCAGCGCUGGGGACGAUGGUGUUGCUCGCAUGUCUGGACCAGGCCCUGAAGCGCUGGAGACAAUGGUGUUGCUUUCACGGACGUGCAACUAAGCUUCGACCGCCGCCUCUUCAAGGUGUAAACUGAAGCCUGGCAGAAACUGAUGCAUAGAGUUUGGUAGAAGAUUAGAAAAAGCCGAUGUACAUGACCAAGACACUUCUUGAUUGAAGAAUAUAGCUUGCAAAGAUUACGACUAAGCUUCUAGCUAGGAGGUGACAAUUAGUAAAAUUAUUGGAUCAUCUUUUAUGAUGGUGUACUGUGCUUAGAUAUAUGUGUGUAGUACUGAAGUGGGAAGAGUCAAGUGAAACGAAGAUUGCUUGUAAUGCAUGAACAGUUGCGAGUGUACCAGUUAGAUCAACUUUAUACUAUACAUUGGUCUUCUUAGUUGA